AGCGAACAUUGGCGGUAGGCUUAACACAUGCAAGUCGUGCGAGAAAGUUCCUUCGGGAGCGAGUAAAGCGGCGCACGGGUGAGUAACACGUAGGUAACCUGCCCCCCAGUCUGGAACAACUAGAGGAAACUCUAGCUAAUGCCGGAUGAGACCACGAUCCCUUCGGGGGUUGCGGCCAAAGAUGGCCUCUACUUGUAAGCUAUCGCUGAGGGAUGGGCCUGCGGGCCAUUAGCUUGUUGGUGAGGUAACGGCUCACCAAGGCUGUGAUGGCUAGCUGGUCUGAGAGGAUGACCAGCCACACUGGGACUGAGACACGGCCCAGACUCCUACGGGAGGCAGCAGUGGGAAUAUUGCGCAAUGGGCGAAAGCCUGACGCAGCGACGCCGCGUGGGUGAUGAAGGCCUUCGGGUCGUAAAGCCCUGUCGCAGGGGAAGAAUAAGCAUCGGUAUAAUACGCCGGUGCCCUGACGGUACCCUGCAAGAAAGCACCGGCUAACUCCGUG
rnacentral:rRNA from 1 species